rnacentral:rRNA from 1 species
UACGUAGGGUGCAAGCGUUGUCCGGAUUUAUUGGGCGUAAAGAGCUCGUAGGCGGUUGUCGCGUCGACUGUGAAAGCCCGGGGCUCAACUCCGGGUCUGCAGUCGAUACGGGCAGACUAGAGUUCGGUAGGGGAGACUGGAAUUCCUGGUGUAGCGGUGAAAUGCGCAGAUAUCAGGAGGAACACCGGUGGCGAAGGCGGGUCUCUGGGCCGAUACGUGCGCUGAGGAGCGAAAGCGUGGGGAGCGAACAGG